UUAAGCAUAUCAAUAAGCGGAGGAAAAGAAACCAACAGGGAUUGCCCUAGUAACGGCGAGUGAAGCGGCAACAGCUCAAAUUUGAAAUCUGGCUCUUUUAGAGUCCGAGUUGUAAUUUGCAGAGGGCGCUUUGGCGUUGGCAGCGGUCCAAGUUCUUUGGAACAGGACGUCACAGAGGGUGAGAAUCCCGUACGUGGUCGCUAGCCUUCGCCGUGUAAAGCCCCUUCGACGAGUCGAGUUGUUUGGGAAUGCAGCUCUAAAUGGGAGGUAAAUUUCUUCUAAAGCUAAAUACUGGCCAGAGACCGAUAGCGCACAAGUAGAGUGAUCGAAAGAUGAAAAGCACUUUGGAAAGAGAGUCAAAUAGCACGUGAAAUUGUUGAAAGGGAAGCGCUUGCAGCCAGACUUGCCUGUAGUUGCUUAUCCGGACUUUUGUCCGGUGCACUCUUCUGCGGGCAGGCCAGCAUCAGUUUAGGCGGUUGGAUAAAGGUCUCUAUCACGUACCUCCCUUCGGGGUUGGCCUUAUAGGGGAGACGACAUGCAACCAGCCUGAACUGAGGUCCGCGCAUCUGCUAGGAUGCUGGCGUAAUGGCUGUAAGCGGCCCGUCUUGAAACACGGACCAAGGAGUCUAACAUCUAUGCGAGUGUUUGGGUGUCAAGCCCAGACGCGUAAUGAAAGUGAACGGAGGUGGGAACCUUUUAGGUGCACCAUCGACCGAUCCUGAUGUCUUCGGAUGGAUUUGAGUAAGAGCAUGGCUGUUGGGACCCGAAAGAUGGUGAACUAUGCUUGAAUAGGGUGAAGCCAGAGGAAACUCUGGUGGAGGCUCGCAGCGGUUCUGACGUGCAAAUCGAUCGUCAAAUUGGGCA
rnacentral:rRNA from 1 species